AUUGAACGCUGGCGGCAGGCCUAACACAUGCAAGUCGAACGGUAACAGGAAGCAGCUUGCUGCUUCGCUGACGAGUGGCGGACGGGUGAGUAAUGUCUGGGAAGCUGCCUGAUGGAGGGGGAUAACUACUGGAAACGGUAGCUAAUACCGCAUAAUGUCGCAAGACCAAAGAGGGGGACCUUCGGGCCUCUUGCCAUCGGAUGUGCCCAGAUGGGAUUAGCUUGUUGGUGGGGUAACGGCUCACCAAGGCGACGAUCCCUAGCUGGUCUGAGAGGAUGACCAGCCACACUGGAACUGAGACACGGUCCAGACUCCUACGGGAGGCAGCAGUGGGGAAUAUUGGACAAUGGGCGCAAGCCUGAUGCAGCCAUGCCGCGUGUAUGAAGAAGGCCUUCGGGUUGUAAAGUACUUUCGGCGGGGAGGAAGGGAGUAAAGUUAAUACCUUUGCUCAUUGACGUUACCCGCAGAAGAAGCACCGGCUAACUCCGUG
rnacentral:rRNA from 1 species